CCUACGGGGCGCAGCAGUGGGGGAUAUUGCACAAUGGGGGGAACCCUGAUGCAGCGACGCCGCGUGGGUGAAGAAGCGCCUCGGCGCGUAAAGCCCUGUCAGCAGGGAAGAAAAUGACGGUACCUGAAGAAAAAGCCCCGGCUAACUACGUGCCAGCAGCCGCGGUAAUACGUAGGGGGCAAGCGUUAUCCGGAUUUACUGGGUGGAAAGGGGGCGCAGACGGCGAUGCAAGCCAGGAGUGAAAGCCCGGGGCCCAACCCCGGGACUGCUCUUGGAACUGCGUGGCUGGAGUGCAGGAGGGGCAGGCGGAAUUCCUGGUGUAGCGGUGAAAUGCGUAGAUAUCAGGAGGAACACCGGUGGCGAAGGCGGCCUGCUGGACUGCAACUGACGUUGAGGCCCGAAAGCGUGGGGAGCAAACAGGAUUAGAUACCCCUGUAGUC
rnacentral:rRNA from 1 species